CUGCCCGGGGCUAUACCAUUGUUGUGGCAUGUGCGACGAUUUCGCCGUCGGAUGGUUUAGCCGGAUUGGGGAUUAUACCGCCGGGUGAGUCGAGUCAUGGCUGAGCGUGUGCGACGAUUUCGCCGCCAGGUGGCUAAGUCACGGAGCAUGGUGGGCUGUGGUUGGCUGAGGUGCAUGUGAGAGUUCCUUCACCUCGAGCUGGACAGAGUGCGAAUUAUCCGCAGUUGAUUGACUCAAGACCGAGUCGAGUGGCAUAGAUGGUUAAGGUAAAGAUAACCUUAGGAAAGAAUCGCCAAUAAGCUUAGUGUGACAAGCUAAUAGAGUAAAGAAUGGCUAAUAAAAAAGAAUGUCAAGAAUAAAGAAUUGCAAGUAGUAAAGAAAAGCCAACGCUAAAGAAUGGUAAAUGAUAGAGAGUAAAAUUCGUAAUCUACUUGCAUAGUUGCAUGGAUUUCAUAUUGCAUUUUGUGAGGCAUGUUAUCUGUUAGUUACAUAAUAACAUGAUGAUAUAUAUCUGUAGAUGUUUUUGGACUAACAUGAUUGCAGUACCUCCUUGGACCUAUUGGUCGAGUUUUUUCCUUGGGUGGCUGUACCCACUGGGAACCAUGGAGUUGGUUCUCACCCCACGUUGUUUUGGGGUGUUACAGGUUCGCACGUGAGCGGUGCGGCGGCGCGAGGCAAAGGCGUAGCUCCGUAGAUAGCGCCCUACCCAAAGACCAGAGAUAGCAGUACCUCGAGUCGGCAUAACCUAGGGGUAGAGGGAAAUGAAAAGAACAAGAUGAUGGAUUAAACUUGUAAUAAAUUAUUGUAACUUGGAUUGUAUUCGGAAGUUGAAAAAAAUGUAAUAGUAAUUGGGAUG
rnacentral:lncRNA from 1 species